rnacentral:rRNA from 1 species
UUAGAGUUUGAUCCUGGCCCAGGAUGAACGCUAGCGGCAGGCCUAACACAUGCAAGUCGAGGGAGAAGCCCUUUCGGGGGCAGAAACCGGCGCACGGGUGCGUAACGCGUAUGCAACCUACCUUUCACAGGGGGAUAGCCCGAAGAAAUUUGGAUUAAUACCCCAUAAUAUUAUUGGAUGGCAUCAUUUGAUAAUUAAAACUGCGGUGGUGAAAGAUGGGCAUGCGUCCUAUUAGCUAGUUGGAGUGGUAACGGCACCCCAAGCCGACGAUCUCUAGCUGGUCUGAGAGGAUGACCAGCCACACUGGGACUGGGACACGGCCCAGACUCCUACGGGAGGCAGCAGUGGGGAAUAUUGCGCAAUGGGGGCAACCCUGACGCAGCCAUGCCGCGUGAAUGAAGAAGGCCUUCGGGUUGUAAAGUUCUUUCGGUAGCGAGGAAGGCAUUUAGUUUAAUAGGCUAGGUGAUUGACGUUAACUACAGAAGAAGCUCCGGCUAACUCCGUGCCAGCUAGCCGCGGUAAUACGGAGGGUGCGACCGUUAAUCGGAAUAACUGGGCGUAAAGGGCACGCAGGCGGUGACUUAAGUGAGGUGUGAAAGCCCCGGGCUUAACCUGGGAAUUGCAUUUCAUACUGGGUCGCUAGAGUACUUUAGGGAGGGGUAGAAUUCCACGUGUAGCGGUGAAAUGCGUAGAGAUGUGGAGGAAUACCGAAGGCGAAGGCAGCCCCUUGGGAAUGUACUGACGCUCAUGUGCGAAAGCGUGGGGAGCAAACAGGAUUAGAUACCCUGGUAGUCCACGCUGUAAACGA